CGUUGAUAGGUCGGGUGUGUAAGUGUAGCGAUACAUUGAGCUAACCGAUACUAAUGAACCGUGAGGCUUAACCUU
rnacentral:rRNA from 3 species